rnacentral:piRNA from 6 species
UGCUCUGAAUGUCAAAGUGAAGAAAUUCAA